UCAAGUCGUGCUGCUCUGCUAAGAAGCCACUUUGCACUUUGCACUUUGCAACGUAGUUUCUCAUAUUGUUUUUGCCUGAUUGUGAUGUUUCUAUUUGAAUAUUUUUGCCUGAUUGUGAUGUUUCCAUUUGAAUAUCAAUGUUUCUCCACUAUGGUCUAUGUAUAUUUCUCAUGAGAGAACCCAAUUAUGUAAAUGGUGCAUAAAUCCCUACAUUGUGUUUUGGUAUUUUUACAGUGAUUGAAUUGCAGCAAAAUCACAUUUUAGCUUCAAUUGAGGGCUUUAUUUGUGUUUUGAUUUUUGCGAAUGAGGGAAUAACUUGUUUUGAUAAGAAUGUUAAAUGGCAGUGGAUGACAAUUACCAGAUGUUAUUACUGGUAGUGCUGCGAUGAGAAAAAAAUUCCCAUAAUUGAAACAAAACUUUUUACUUGAAAGGAUUACAGGAAAACUAGAAAAGUAGCGUAAGAUCAACGAGAGAGAAGGUAAAGUGAUAAAGUGAAGUAAAGCAGCCUAUGAGUUACAGAUCUUCUAUGUUUCUCUCCCGUUGAUUUAAUCCAAUGGCCAAGAAUAGAGCAGCAGACACAGCAGCAGAUA
rnacentral:lncRNA from 1 species